rnacentral:rRNA from 1 species
UCCGUAGGUGAACCUGCGGAAGGAUCAUUAGUGAAAACAAGGGCGUCCAAUUUAACUUGGAGCCCGAACUCUCACUUUCUAACCCUGUGCAUCUGUUAUUGGUUAGUAGCUCUUCGGAGUGAACUCCAUUCACUUACAAACACAAAGUUUAUGAAUGUAUACAAAAUUAUAACAAAACAAAACUUUCAACAACGGAUCUCUUGGCUCUCGCAUCGAUGAAGAACGCAGCGAAAUGCGAUACGUAAUGUGAAUUGCAGAAUUCAGUGAAUCAUCGAAUCUUUGAACGCACCUUGCGCUCCUUGGUAUUCCGAGGAGCAUGCCUGUUUGAGUGUCAUGAAAUCUUCAACCCACCUCUUUCUUAGUGAAUCUGGUGGUGCUUGGUUUCUGAGCGCUGCUCUGCUUCGGCUUAGCUCGUUCGUAAUGCAUUAGCAUCCGCAACCGAACUUCGGAUUGACUUGGCGUAAUAGACUAUUCGCUGAGGAUUCUAGUCUCGUACUAGAGCCGGGUUGGGUUAAAGGAAGCUUCUAAUCCUAAAGUCUAUUUUUUGAUUAGAUCUCAAAUCAGGUA